CUGCUCGCACUUUCCAUAUGGAGCUGGGAGCGUUUGCCGGUUGGACGACCUAAGACCGUGAAGUAUGAGGAUUGGGAUGAUAAAGACGACCCACUACGGCUCCCCACUUGGGCUUACAAGUGGGAUGUGUUAAAUGAGACGACGGAUGAUCCCUCUGUAAUGUACAAGUUGUACAAGAGCGAGCUGGACGCGAUCACGCCUGAGCAGGUGAACCGACCUUGCAUAAGUGAUUAUCAUGCUUGUAUCUUCACUCGAUAUCAAUUUUGCAUUCAAUCCCAUUUUGCAGGUGGAAUGGGAGCCGUAUGGAAAAGGAGAGAGUUUUGGUAA
rnacentral:rRNA from 1 species